rnacentral:sRNA from 1 species
GGGUCCAGAGAGGGGAGGUGGCUUGCGUGUUUCUCUU